rnacentral:lncRNA from 1 species
UAAAAUGAUCCGGUUAGGUUAAAACGUUCAUUGGUAAAAUUAAAGGUUCGGUACGAUGUGGACGACUGAAAUAUACGUCGCCCGGGUAAAUUAUUCAACAGACGACUAAAAUAUAAGUCGUCCACACCCUAAACACAACCCCUAAACUUAAUUAUCUAAUUAAACACUUCAUAAAACCAAAUCAAACUUGAAAAGUGUUUACUACACACAGAAAUAAACACAUAUAGGUGAAAACUAAUUUUUGAAAAAAAA